ACAUUUACUUGUCGCCAUUAUGAAAACAAAGAAAUAAGUUAUGUGCAUUAAAUCGUGGGAUUUCUUAAAAAACUAUGUUGCUGCUGUAAUGGUGGGAAAUUACAUGCUCAUGUGUUUUUGCAGUUGUGUUCAAAUACGGAAGUGGUUUGAUUAUCGUAGCCAUAUUUGUAUUAAAACUGACAUCUGUGAAGGAAAAGUCCCUUGGGCUCCUCACCCAGAAUUUUGUCAAGCUCUUCUUCACCAUGAAGGUUGAGACAAUCUCACUUUGACGAAGGUGCAAGGCUUCUCCUUGGAGACGGACAUGUAGAGAGCAACAUGAGAAGUUAGCGCAUGCAUUCCUUUUGUUUAGUUCCAUGUUUGUGUUAAAUGCCUUUUCUAUCCAAAUAGAACACACAAUGGACACAUGUAAGCAGAUAUAUACUCCAAUCUUUAGAUUUUCGUUGUUAAAACACUCUAUUUGUUUAAUGAUGUUAUUGUCAAUUAAACUAG